CGUACAUAGGAAAUUCCCCCAGAGUCGUGAAUAAUUCAUCGAAAGGUGGACUAAUACACGAUGGUCUCGCAAGAGUAAAGUUUUAACGCUCUGGGAAAGGCCUGUGCGAUAUCAGCUAGUUGGUAGUGUAAUGGACUACCAAGGCUAUGACGUCUAGGGGAGCUGAGAGGCUGACCCCCACCGAUGGUACUGAGACACGGACCAUACACCUACGGGUGGCUGCAGUCGAGAAUCUUCCACAAUGGACGAAAGUCUGAUGGAGCGACGCCGCGUGAUUGAUGAAGUCCCUCUGGGACGUAAAGAUCUUUUAUGAGGGAAGAAGUUUAUUGACUGUACCUCAUGAAUAAGAGGCUCCUAAUCUCGUGUCCGUGUCUGUG
rnacentral:rRNA from 1 species